rnacentral:rRNA from 1 species
CCAGACUCCUACGGGAGGCAGCAGUGAGGAAUAUUGGUCAAUGGGAGAGAUCCUGAACCAGCCAAGCCGCGUGAGGGAAGACGGCCCUAUGGGUUGUAAACCUCUUUUGUCGGAGAACAAAACCCGGGACGUGUCCCGGACUGCGUGUAUCCGAAGAAAAAGCAUCGGCUAACUCCGUGCCAGCAGCCGCGGUAAUACGGAGGAUGCGAGCGUUAUCCGGAUUUAUUGGGUUUAAAGGGUGCGUAGGCGGUCCGUUAAGUCCGCGGUAAAAUUGCGGGGCUCAACCCUGGCGAGCCGUUGAAACUGGCAGACUUGAGUUGGCGAGAAGUACGCGGAAUGCGCGGUGUAGCGGUGAAAUGCUUAGAUAUCACGAAGAACUCCGAUUGCGAAGGCAGCUCACUGGACUGCAACUGACACUGAGGCUCGAAAGUGUGGGUAUCAAACAGGAUUAGAUACCCGUGUACAU